ensembl:lncRNA
CAUUCACCAUCCUUUUUUUAAUAGGAAACUUGGACAGAAUCUUGUCCUUGGAAAAUGGUCAGAAAAAACUGGAAGUGAUUUAAAGGUAAACAUACUGUAACUUCGAUGAUUUUUUGUGUGUGUGAUUAUUAACUAUUCUUUAUCUUGUAUUAUCAAUGAAUAAGUAACUAUAAAAUCAUCUAUUUGAACAGGGAGUUCCUGUGCAAGAUUAUGGGAAUGACUGCGGUAUCUUCAUGAUCAUGGCGAGUUAACAAUUGUAGCUUAAACAAAUUACAAGAUUAAAUUGACAAAAUUAUGUACAAAAAAAGUUAUAAAAGUACACAUUCAUUUUAACACAAUUUUAUGCUCUUCACCUAUACUGCAUGACAAAAAUUUUAUUGAAAAUAUUUAUUUUAUAUGCAGUACAUCUGGUAUAUGGCAAUGGAGGCUUAUUUUGAUUUCACUGUGGUAAGUGUUGCUUAAAAUUGACAUUAUACAGAUUUCUAAAAACAAGAUAACCUCUUAAUCAUUUCACGUAGGUGUAAUCUUGUAGAUACUGACUUGCUGAAUUGUGGUUAUGUGAUUAACUGAUUUGAGUGUUACAGUUUAUAUGAAUUGUUUUAGAGGAGAGUUCUGAUGGAGAAUUUUCAUCUAGAAGAGUAUUUUUUUAUUUUUUAUUAUUUGAAUUAAAUGCUUUUAAUGCAACCGUUUAAAUAAAACCAAAAGGUCUUAUUUUCAAUAAUGUGCAUUUGCAGUCACGGGAAAAGAUUUGCACAUUGGACUGAAGAUGGUAUACAAAAUCUUAAGGGAACUUUUACACCCGUCUUCCACAUACCAAGGAAAAGAAAAUGUCCAGACCCCACAAAGGAUGGCAAGCCAACCAAGAGAAUCCAGACCUAAAAACAUUAUGAAAUGGGCACAACACAGAAAUGGGUACAUCCAUUGUAUGUACAGAUAAAUGAAUAGUUCCCCAAAAUGUGUGUAUGAACUUUGCUAAACGUGUGUGUGUGCGAUUUAUAUUAAAAAAGAGCUUUAUUUCAGUCUGUUCUAAUUCAAAAUUGGAUCACUUCAGAAAACAUUUGUUAACCUGCAUGUCUGUGUGUAUUACAAGUAAACUUUGAACACUGUCAUCCUAUGAUCAAUUAAACCUGCCAUUUUAACGAUUGAAAUAUUUUGAAUAACACAGAGCCUUCAGAACAAUAAAAAACAUUAGAAAAAUUAAAUACA